rnacentral:rRNA from 1 species
UCUAGGCCCCGUCAGGAGCCCGAGUUGUAAUUUGGAGAGGACACUUCGGGGCCCUAGUAACGGCGAGUGAAGCGGCAACAGCUCAAAUUUGAAAUCUGGCUUCGGCCCGAGUUGUAAUUUGCAGAGGAAGCUUUAGGCGCGGCACCUCCUGAGUCCCCUGGAACGGGGCGCCACAGAGGGUGAGAGCCCCGUAUAGUUGGAUGCCUAGCCUGUGUAAAGCUCCUUCGACGAGUCGAGUAGUUUGGGAAUGCUGCUCAAAAUGGGAGGUAAAUUUCUUCUAAAGCUAAAUACCGGCCAGAGACCGAUAGCGCACAAGUAGAGUGAUCGAAAGAUGAAAAGCACUUUGAAAAGAGGGUUAAAUAGCACGUGAAAUUGUUGAAAGGGAAGCGCUUGUGACCAGACUUGCGCCGGGCUGAUCAUCCGGUGUUCUCACCGGUGCACUCUGCCCGGCUCAGGCCAGCAUCGGUUCUCGCGGGGGGAUAAAGGCCCUGGGAACGUAGCUCCUCCGGGAGUGUUAUAGCCCGGGGCGCAAUGCCCUCGCGGGGACCGAGGUUCGCGCUCUGCAAGGAUGCUGGCGUAAUGGUCAUCAGCGACCCGUCUUGAAACACCGGACC